CGUGUAGGCGGUUUGGUCAGUCAGACGUGAAAGCUCCGGGCUUAACUCGGAAAGUGCGUUUGAUACUGCCAGACUUGAGUUCGGGAGAGGAAAGUGGAAUUCCCAGUGUAGAGGUGAAAUUCGUAGAUAUUGGGAGGAACACCGGUGGCGAAGGCGACUUUCUGGACCGAUACUGACGCUGAGACGCGAAAGCGUGGGGAGCAAACAGGAUUAGAUACCCUGGUAGUCC
rnacentral:rRNA from 1 species